UUUUUCGUGUGAUGGUCUGGACGUGAUGCCAAGGCAGGGUCUCAGGCCGCAGCGGAGUGCUAAACUCCUUUGAGAUAACCAUCCUUGACAUGACCAUCAGGUUCGUCACUGCAAAAGAGUAGUCGUAGUUCCGUACAUUCUCUCUCUGCACCUGCAAUAGCGUAAGGAAACAAAACCUAGAAAAAUAAAUCUGUAACUCCGAUCAAUUUGCAACCCCAGAGACAUCGAUUCCUGUAGUGUUGAAUGAUCGGAUUUUCUCGUUUCUUAUUUUGUUUGUCAAGUUUACCAUGGGAGCCAGUCGAAAACUUCAGGGUGAGAUCGAUCGAGUUCUGAAGAAGGUCCAAGAAGGCGUUGAUGUCUUCGACAGCAUCUGGAACAAGGUUUACGACACGGAUAAUGCGAACCAGAAAGAGAAAUUCGAGGCGGAUUUGAAGAAAGAAAUCAAGAAACUGCAGAGAUACCGAGACCAGAUCAAGACAUGGAUACAAUCGAGCGAGAUAAAGGAUAAGAAGGUUAGUGCCUCUUAUGAGCAGGCUCUGCUGGAUGCUCGCAAGCUUAUUGAGCGUGAAAUGGAAAGAUUUAAAGUCUGUGAAAAGGAAACUAAGACAAAAGCCUUCUCAAAAGAAGGGUUGGGUCAACAACCUAAAACUGAUCCAAAAGAGAAAGCAAAAUCAGAGACAAGGGAUUGGUUGAACAAUGUGGUUUCAGAGCUGGAAUCUCAAAUUGAUUGCUUUGAAGCUGAUAUUGAGGGCCUCUCUGUGAAGAAAGGGAAGGCAAGGCCACCCAGACUGACUCAUUUAGAGACCUCUAUUGCUCGGCAUAAAGCUCAUAUAAUGAAGUUAGAGUUGAUUUUGAGAUUGCUGGAUAAUGAUGAAUUGAGUCCUGAGCAGGUCAAUGAUGUAAGAGACUUUUUGGAUGACUAUGUUGAACGCAACCAGGAGGAUUUUGAAGAAUUCAGUGAUGUUGAUGAGCUCUACAGCUCUCUACCAUUAGACAAAGUGGAGUCACUUGAAGAUCUCGUAACAGUUGUUCCUCCUGGCCUUGCUAAGGGUGUCGGUUCUGCUAGUGCAGUUUUGAGCUUGAAGACUCCUAUUGCAGCUUCAACAACUCAAAUGCCGGCCACAUUAGCGUCUACUGUUCAGCAAGGUAAUUCCAUUCAGGAUCAAGCUGAAGAGUCUGCUUCCCAGGACAGUAGUUCCGAUAUUGCUCCACGAACCCCACCUUCAAAAAAUAGUACAGUGGGUUCUUCAACUUCAUCAACACCAGCAGGGAGUCAUGUAGCUACUGUUACUGGCAAUUUGCCGACACGUAAUUUGGCUGGUGGGUCAACUACUUCAGCAAUCCUUUCAGCUCCAGCAUCUAUUCGAGGUGUGGUGGAUAACUCUGUUGCGACUGUUUCUCCAUCCCCAGUAAACUUGUCUAAUUCCACUAAGGAAGAAGAGAACUCAAGCUUCCCUGGUCGAAGACCAUCACCAGCUCUUACUGAAAUUGGUGUAGGAAGAGGAAUUGGUAGAGGUUCAAUGGCUGGAGGUGUACCCAGCCAACCAUCAAACAAUGUACCUUUAAGUUCUGGAAGUUCACUUCCUGGCAAUGGAGCGCUUGGUGCAGUCCCUACUGCUUCUGACAUGGCAAAGAAAAAUAUUUUAGGGGCUGAUAGUGGCAUCAUGCAACCAUUGGUUUCCCCACUAAGCAAUAGAAUUCUCUUACCCCAGGUAUCUAAGGGGAAUGAUGGAACUGGUUCUGCUGAUUCUAACAAUUCUGGUGAGGGUGCAGUUGUAGGUGGCAGAGUUUUCUCCCCUUCUGUGGUUCCAGGUGUACAAUGGAGGCCUGGAACAUCAUUUCAGACUCAGAAUGAAGCGGGUCAAUUUCGUGUUCAACCCGAUCAGAGAGAGAAAUUUUUGCAGAAAUUCCACCAAGUGCAACAGCAGCAGCAGCAGCAUUCUCAACUCGCUGGGGGAAAUCAUAAGCAGUUCACUACACAACAGCAAGGCUCACUAUUACAGCAGUUUAAUUCACAAAACUCAUCAUUGUCACCUCAAGUUGGACUGGGUCUUGGGGUUCAGGGAGCAGGUCUAAAUUCUGUUACAUCAGCUUCUUUACAACAGCCAAAUUUUAUUCAUCCACAGGCUGCUCAGCGUGCUUUGAGCUCACCUGGACCCAAAGAGUCAGACACUAGUCAUACAAAAGUUGAUGACCAACAGCAACAACAAAAUCCAUCUGAUGACUCAAGUGUUGAACCUACCACAAGUGUUGGGCUCAGCAAAAAUCUCAUGAAUGAGGAUGAUCUGAAGAGUCCAUACUCAGUAGAUGCACCUGUUGGAGGAUCUGGCUCACUAAUGGAACCUGCCCAGGUGCCAAGAGAUACUGAUCUCUCUCCUGGGCAACCAUUACAAUCCAAUCAACCUUCACUUGGUUUGGGGGUCAUUGGUCGGAGAAGUGCUUCUGACCUUGGUGCAAUUGGCGAUAAUCUCAGUGGAUCCACUACAAAUUCCACGGGAAUGCAUGAUCAAGUAUACAAUCUGCAGAUGCUUGAGGCUGCAUAUUACAAACUUCCUCAACCAAAAGACUCAGAACGUGCAAAAAGCUACAUUCCUAGACAUCCUGCAGUGACACCUCCAAGCUACCCUCAAAUGCAGGCACCCAUUGUUGACAAUCCUGCCUUUUGGGAGCGAUUGGGUGUUGAUACUAUGGGCACUGAUACUUUGUUCUUUGCAUUUUACUUUCAACAGAAUACUUAUCAGCAAUACUUGGCCGCAAGAGAGUUGAAAAAGCAAUCCUGGAGAUACCACAGGAAAUACAACACAUGGUUUCAGCGGCACGAGGAACCAAGAGUCACCACUGAUGAAUGUGAACAAGGGACUUAUGUAUACUUUGAUUUCCAUAUUGCCAAUGAUGAUUCACAACAUGGGUGGUGCCAGAGGAUUAAGACUGAAUUCACUUUCGAGUACAGUUAUCUUGAAGAUGAGCUUGUUGUAUAGAAGUACGUGCAGAAAACCAGAACUAUCCACAGACAAAUUUUUGGCAAAUUGCUGAUGGGGGCUACAAAACUGAAUGGUUGCUUAUCAAUUUACAAUCAUUAACUUCAAUACGGAGAAAUGGUAUUGGCAUGCGAGAAGCUCACAACCGUCUGAUAUGCUUGAAUUGGGGGCUUGCUGUUUCUAGGUUCCACUAAUAAUAAGCAGGGAUGUGUCUUAUUAGGGUUGAAAAUCAUGGGUGGGUCCUGGGUUAAUCAUGGAACUUCAUAUGGCUUAAUCCUGAUGCAGAUGAACUGCAUCAUUUCCUCGGUCUCUGUUUUUUUCACCCAUAUUCUACUGUGAAGAGUUCUUGUGUAGGAGCUCCUUGCAACAGAACUCUAGUUGAUAUCAUGUUCCUUAACAUGGGAAUUUUUUGAUGGGGAAGUGCUGAAAUAUUUUAUAUUGGAAUUUUUUAGAUGCCAAUUAUAGACAAUACUCACAAUUUCGUUUUCUACUUGUUUCCAUAUAAACCGAACUAUAAUCUUUUUGUAA